rnacentral:rRNA from 1 species
CCUACGGGGGGCAGCAGUGAGGAAUAUUGGUCAAUGGACGAGAGUCUGAACCAACCAAGUAGCGUGAAGGAUGACUGCCCUAUGGGUUGUAAACUUCUUUUAUAUGGGAAUAAAACGUUCCACGUGUGGGAUUUUGUAUGUACCAUAUGAAUAAGGAUCGGCUAACUCCGUGCCAGCAGCCGCGGUAAUACGGGGGAUCCGAGCGUUAUCCGGAUUUAUUGGGUUUAAAGGGAGCGUAGGUGGAUUGUUAAGGCAGUUGUGAAAGUUUGCGGCUCAACCGUAAAAUUGCAGUUGAAACUGGCAGUCUUGAGUACAGUAGAGGUGGGCGGAAUUCGUGGUGUAGCGGUGAAAUGCUUAGAUAUCACGAAGAACUCCGAUUGCGAAGGCAGUUCACUGGACUGCAACUGACACUGAGGCUCGAAAGUGUGGGUAUCAAACAGGAUUAGAUACCCCUGUAGUC